GGUGGGCGUAGCUCAGUUGGUUAGAGCGCUUGUCUGUGGAACAAGAGGUCGAGGGUUCAAGUCCCUUCUCCCACCC
rnacentral:tRNA from 1 species